rnacentral:rRNA from 1 species
CUACCGGGGUAUCUAAUCCUGUUUGCUACCCACGCUUUCGUGUCUCAGCGUCAGUUACGGUCCAGAAAGCCGUCUACACCACCGGUGUUCCUCCUGAUAUCUACGCAUUUCACCGCUACACCAGGAAUUCCACUUUCCUCUCCCGCACUCGAGUCUCUCAGUAUUCGGCGCACCCUCCCGGUUGAGCCGGGAGAUUUCACACCAAACUUAAAAGACCGCCUACACACCCUUUACGCCCAGUAACUCCGAACAACGCUUGCUGCCUACGUAUUACCGCGGCUGCUGGCAC